GCCACACUUCCUAAUCCUUCUAAUGCUUUCAAAGAGUUCCUUCCAAUUCCUGGUGACUAGUCUUCAAAUAUGUGCGUCUAUGGGGGUCAUUACUACUCAAAUCACCACACCAGGAUAAGAAAUGAAAGUAGAGCAGGUGUCUCGAGUGCAAACUUUGAAUUUAGGGAUUUCUGGGGUGAUUUGUCUCUGCAGCAACCAUUUCCAACGAAGCCACCUAGGAAGGAGAGGAACAGUUGGGACAUGUCCCAUCAGUACUUGGGACACUUUCCUGUGGGAGACCCUCCUAUUUAUAAAGCCAGACCAGGAAAAACCUGUCUCAAGCAAUGGUGGGGACAGCUAUUUGCAAGCCAGCUGUCAGCAGCAGCAGGAAACAUAACUCAACGUGACCAGUUCUGCAGCUUGCAGAAUUCCUUCCAGGAUCAUCACUCAGGUGUAGCCAGGAUCUUCACACACACACACACACACACACACACACACACACACACACACUUUCAAGGUAAGCCUGAAGUAAAAGACAAGAGUGUGUAUGUACAAAAGGGUAGGUACAGCUUCGGUAGAGAAAAAGAGAACAAGGUAUGUCUUAACGAUGGCUGUGUCUAUUUCACAAUGGGAUACUUGACUUUUGAGUUAUGCUCUUUAAAAAAAAAAAACCCACCUAGUCUACAAAUCUAGCUAAAAAUAAUGGAUUAAGAAAAAAGCAGUGUUUGAGUAUGCUUAUCUAGGAAAGGUGGAGUUUUCUUGUAAAUGAGAUUAUAAGUCGAUUUAUGACUUCAUUGCUUAAGUUUCCAGAUAAGAGGGGAUGGCUGAUAAGAUAAAAUCUCAGUCUAAAAGGUCAAAGGAGUUCCUACUCUACACAGAUCUUCCAAGAGUCAAGAUGUAUGCUUGGUAACUAACAUGGUCAGAACUAUGUGUGCAACUUUCUCAGAGGAAAAGAAAAAAAAAAGGAUAGCACUUUGCAGGAAAUUUCAUCAGCCGUGUUGAAAUUCUUGACUCACAGCCAACAAAAGACUUAUGAUCUAGAGGCUGGCUGGGCUCUUUUCUUUUCUCAUCGUUGCCUUGAUUCUCCCUAUCUUCCGUCUUCUGUACAUGGUUUGUUACUCACCUAUCAUACAACAUCCCUAUAACAAAAGCAGGCUAAUCAGAGAAAAGCAUGAUGGAUUUAAUUUAUCAGAAGGUUUAAAAAAGUGUGUGUGCAUGCAUGCUUCUACUUGUCUGCCUGUGGGCCAAUGGGCCAGAAAAGGAUGUCAAAUCCCCCAGAAGUGGAGUUAUAGGUGAUUGUGAGCUGCCCAGUGUGAAUGCUGGGAGCCAAGCCCAGGUCCUCUGCAAGAGUGGCAAGGGCUUUUAACUGUCCAGUCAUCAUCUCUCUAUCCCCCUAAUCAGUCUUCUGGAUCUCAGGACCUUUCAUAAAUUUCUGUGCUUAGAUUCACUGGAGAAGGGGCAGUGGUAUAGAAGUGUGAUUAGAUGAAAGGCUGUGACAAAUGGUGACAUGCUAAGGGAAACUCAGCCAGGCUGUUGUGAUUCUUGUCCUCUUUGUGUAGGUAAGGAGUUCAGGUGAUACCACCCCACACUUUGUGGUGCUGGCCUACUGUUAUUUUGAACUGAAGGCAUAUGGGGAACACCAGACACAGAGUGUUCUCCAAACUCCCCCUAUCUGCUCGGAGAGAAAUGCCCCUACAUGCACUCAACUGUUACAAAUUCUCUGUCUCAACCUUCAGAUUUAUCAGGGAAGAUGAACUUGAGUAGCAGGCGGAAAAACUAGUGGUUGAUACCAUGACAAUUACCUAUCACCUAGUAAUAAUUACCUAUUAUUACCUAAGAAUAUCUUUUAAACUGCAUAACUAUUCUCCCACCUGUUCCCUCCCUCCACUCUCUUAUAACUCAUGACCACAAUCCUCAGAAGAUGCCCCCACACACAUCCCUCCCUCCACUCUCUUAUAACUCAUGACCACAAUCCUCAGAAGACGCCCCCACACACAUACAAACUACUUCUUUUUAUAGUUCAGCUUCCAUCAUCCAACAUGACUUCAAGUGCCAUACUUUGUGGAACUCUUGCACGCACAUAGGCAACUGAAAGGUUUUCCCUUCUGAUAGACGACUCUGUGUCAAUGUAGCUUGGGCCCUGGCCAGCAAACCUGGAAAGGUGUAAGGGAGUCAUUUCCCCUUCACUGAACAUACUGUUUCCUCCCAAUGAGUAGGGAAGAACCCCUCUAGAAUGAGCUUCAAAUGACCAACUUUCUAGGGUGUCCCGCGGUAACCGUCUCGCCAGCAAAAACGACGCGGCACACUCCUCAGGAUGUGCCUCAGGAUCCUUCUGUAGUAAAGCUUUAAUGCGAGAGAGGGAGAGCAUAAGCUUACAGAGCGGAGACUCCGAAUACCCCAAAACCCCUCCCUUAUAUAGGCUGGCAACCGCUGCCUGAGAAGUGUUACACUCUGACUGGCUGAAGCUCGUCGGACCAUAUGACGUCACGGGAGGGGCGGAGACCAAGGGCUGGAAAGUUACAAAGUUACCUAGUGCACAUGCGCACUAGCUUGUAAGGGCUCCUUACACUAGGGGAUUUCAGAGAAUUUCUUUUUUGCCAGCCCUGGGGUUAGAGAAGCCAGAGUGACCAGAGUCUCUUCCAUUUUCCUUUAAAUCAAAGGACCUCAAUGUUGAAUUUUUUUAAGCUCUAACAUUGCAGAGUAGACUAAAACAGCACAAAUAUAUUACCUUACACCACUGAAUAACAGAAGUCUGCAAUAGGUCUUUUAGUCUAUAAUUAAGAGGGCAAACCCAUUUUCUUGCUUCUAGAGGUCACUGGCAUUUCUUGGCUUGUCUUCUCUUUUUCCAUAUCCAGAACCAGCAGUGCAACAAGUACAAAUCUCUCAAAUCUAUCUAUCUACCUAUCUAUCUAUCUACCGAUCGAUCAAUCGAUCGAUCUACCUACCUACCUAGCUACCUACCUGUCUCUGAUACUGCCUUGACUCCCUUUUCCACAUUGAAAGGCCUUUGUAGAUAUCAUGAAACCCCCAAAUAUGUCUCCUAAUAUUCAUGGCUUUUCCUUAAAUCAAGGUGGCUAGUCAGAGAAACUGCACACCAGUGAACAGUUAGAGAUGCAUAAUGAUUUUUUUUUUUUUUGGUAGCUUCCUCUCUGACCAGAGAAGACCUUUGGAGACUGGAGAUCAGACACUUGGCCCUGGGAGGCUUCAACUGAAGACAGAGAUCCCUCUGCACCCCGUGAACACUCCACUCCACCCUUGAAGUCCUAGGUCAUCCCCAUUGCCCCUUAGCCUAAACGGCCUUUGCUUAGCUCUAUGUUGGAUUCAGCCAUUGUGCCCCUCCUUCUUUGGGACUUGCACUGAAUCUGUGUGGCUCCCAUGUUUAGUGUAUAAUAAGUUUGUAUGUUCUUCUUCCUUAAUUAAUUUAUCUCCGCACAAACUCAAAUUAUCAAAACCUCAAAGGGGGAAAAAUGGAAACGUUCCUACUUUGCACUGAGCCCUCCUAGAUAAUAACCCAAGAAAAUUUUUCUUAUCUUGAAGUCAAUGGGUUAGAAAACUGAAUUCCAUCUUUAAGCCUUAAAAUCUUGUUCUUUCACCUUACAAAUAGUCAGUCUCCCUUAAAGGUGCUGCCCUUGAUGGGGUGACCACACUAGAGUAGAUGGCAUGAGCACAAAUUGAACUCUGUGGGUUAUUAAAAAAAACAUGAAGUUAGGAGAGUGGGACAUGGACAUAGGAGGAGGUGGGGUAGAAGGCAGGGUGUGUCUGAUCACAAAUGCAUUGUAUGAAUGUAUGAAUUCUCAAAGAAUUAAUAAAAACAACAACAAAUUCCUAAUCCCUGUCAUCAGAGAGGCAGAGUUGAAUCCAGAGGUUCACAACCACCCAUGCUCAGCAGCCUAUGAAUCAAAUUGUCUGUGUGGAUUUUACUAUAAAAUAGAUGGUUUUAUUACAUUUCACUGUCUGGUACCUAUUAAAUGUUCUGCAUAAGUGAGUAAGUUCAGUUUUUGUAUUGUCAAUUGCCCAUCCCUAUGUUUUUCAGCUAGCCUAGAAUUUACUAUGCAGACUUGGUUAGCCUCAAACUUGCAGAAAUCUGCCUGUGCUUCCCAAGUGCUGGAAUUACAAAAGGGCGUGUUGGUUUUGCCUUUUAAAGGUUGGUUUUAACAGCCUUGGAAUCACCCAGCAGCCGACAACUACAUAUUAGUCACCAGGAGAUGGAACAAUUCUUCUAUGUAUACUCUAGCUAAC
ensembl:lincRNA